AUUUUAUUAGUAUAAUAAGUAUGGUUCUUUUCCAAACAAUUGGUUUAUAUAGUUUAAAUAAAAUA
rnacentral:tRNA from 1 species